rnacentral:snRNA from 1 species
GGAUGUGAGGGCGAUCUGGCUGCGACAUCUGUCACCCCAUUGAUCGCCAGGGUUGAUUCGGCUGAUCUGGCUGGCUAGGCGGGUGUCCCCUUCCUCCCUCACCGCUCCAUGUGCGUCCCUCCCGAAGCUGCGCGCUCGGUCGAAGAGGACGACCAUCCCCGAUAGAGGAGGACCGUUCUUCGGUCAAGGGUAUACGAGUAGCUGCGCUCCCCUGCUAGAACCUCCAAACAAGUUCUCAAAUAUUGCAUUUCAUCAUUUGCCACAGUUUUUACAGAAACCUAGAAAUGUUUGCUAUGAAACAAUGUGAAAGAAAGAACAUUAUACAACUAAAAUUCAUUU